AACAUCUGGAUGAGACACUACAUGAGAAAAUUAUAUUUAUUCAUCCAGGAAUGGUGUCCAAGGCUGGAACAAUAGCCCCACAAAUUGAAAAAAGAGCAAGGUUCAUUGCUGAUCGCCUAAUAGACUCCAAAUUGGCAGACUUGGUUUUUCUUCCAUAUAACCCAAGGUUUCAUUGGGUUUUGGCUGUAAUUGACCUCAAAUCACAAAUAGUCUACUAUUUAGACUCGCAAUUGCAACAACCAUACCAAGAUAUAAAAGAUAUUGUGAACAUGGGGUUUCGAAUUUUUGUAUCUCAAAAGAAGAAAGGAUCUAAAAAAGAGCUCAAGUGGAUGGUUGUUGAGGGGCCCAAACAGUUGGAUGGUGUCAUGUGCGGAUAUUUUGUCAUGCGAUACAUGCGAGACAUAAUUGCAAAUAGAAGUCUCUUAACAUCUCAGUUUGAAGGAAAAAAAACCUAUUCACGAGCUGAGUUAGAUGAAGUGAGAUCUGAAUGGGUCUCAUUUUUGAGCACUCUUAUCUUAGACCAAGUAUAGUGGGUUUCAGGUGACAUUUGCAGUUGUUGCAAUUUUGAGGUGACAAGAUCAUAUGUAAGAUCUUAUUGUCAUGCAUAGAUGCUGAAGUUUUGGAUACUUUUGGGUUCAUAGAAAUGUUAUCCAACAUAAAGGAAAGUGCCACUCUUCCUCUCCAUUGAAAUGGUGUUCACCAUGGAAGGAAAGCUCCUCUCAUCAAUUAGUUUUUGGUUUGCCAAUGCCAUAACAAGUUAAGGUUAGGUGACAUUUGCAGUGCUGCAGUUUUUAGAGGAGAAGAUCACGCAUAAAUUUUUGUUAUCAUGUACAGCUACUUGAUAUUUGGUUAUUUUUGGAAGAUUUGGUGGCAUUUGCAGCAAUUACAACACUUUUGAAGGCACAAGAUCAUGGCUACAUUAUAUUUAUCAUGUAUAACUAUUGGA